CCCCUCCUCCCAUUCUCUUCUUUUUUAAUUUUGUUUUUCACCUGGCUCUGUUCUGAACCAUUGACCCCCUGUGAGGUCACACAAAGGAUUUCCCUGUCUUUGGUUUCCAGUUGUGUCUGUUCAAUGAGGCAUCCCAGCAGCUCAGAGGAGGGAGAGGAAUGAGGCCCAGCAUGCAUUCCCCUGGCUGCCUGCUGCUCAGUUGCCUGGAUUGCUGAAUCCAUCUAUCGAGUCACAGCUCUUCUCAAGAUGUGAACCCUGAUGGUUACAGGUCCAGAUGCUUCAUUUCCAUGGACACGUCAUCCUCUACAACAUCUGAAAGUGAGAAAUUGGAAUUAGUCUCGUUCAAUUGCUUAGCCUUGAAUUUCAGGAGAUAAAUGCAAAGACCUGGCAAUGAUGCAAAGGUGUGUUAAGUUUCCAGUGAUAGGAACAUCGUAUGGAGAAAGGGCAUCCUGAGAGAUGAAUGAGUCUGUUCUCUGCCCCAGCCAGGAUAAUAAUACCUCUAUCAUCCCAUACCCAGAGAAUGUAUCCACUUUCAUAUUUUCUAGGAAAGUGACUUCAACAGCUUCUGAAAGACCCCUGGAGUGCUUAAUACAGUUUUUGCCAGGGAAUUCUCUUCCUUAAAUUGCUUACAUCAUGGAAUAAAAAUGAUCUGGGA
rnacentral:lncRNA from 1 species